rnacentral:lncRNA from 1 species
AUGACAUUCCAACAUUUUUAAUAUAAUUAAAAUACAUUUUGUAACAACGCAAAUUUUCAAACAAUUUUUUUCAUUUUAAAAAUAAAGUAUUUCCAUUCAAAACAAGGCAUAAAUAAUUUAAGUUUCAUGUCAAAUACAAAUUGUCUAAAUCCCAAGAUCAUAAAAACAUUCUUCAGUGUGUAUCGAUCACGCCGGCGCCUUCCCACGGUCCUCGCUAGUACCUGAAACACAUACAUAACAACUGUAAGCAUAAAUGCUUAGUGAGUUCCCCAAUAUACUACUUACGCACAUACGCCUUUCCAGGCCCUGACCUUCCGGUCCAUGUGUCUCAGGGGACUUCCGUCCCUGCUGGGUAAACCUUCCGGUCCUACCCACGCCGACCUUCCGGUCCAUCACACAACAUAUCGCCUUCCGGCCCAUAACAUAUUGCCUUCCGGCCCAUAAUAUAAUCGCCUUCCGGCCCAUAACAUACAUAGCACAUAUAACAAAUAACUUACCACAUAUAGCAUACAUAUCACAUAUCAUAUCUGACCUUCCGGUCACACAGUCAACCCCUUCCGGGUACAGUAUAGUGAGAAGACUCACCUCGUGAAUACUGGAAGCUAGCAAAUCCUGAAAUCACUCGUGCUCGAUCCGCUGAGCUACAACCUCCCUAUAACAUCAUAUAUCUCUUAUUAACACUUUUAUCUUCUAAGUUUAACUGCCCCUAAGAAGUCACACAUAGGUCAACUCUGGUCAACGGUCAACGGUCAACGGUCAACUUGACCGGACUCGGCGAGUGCCAUGGCGACUCGGCGAGUCUAGACGUCCUCCAACUCUCUGAGAUUCCCUAUCUACUCGUCGAGUAUCCUCCUUGACCCGACGAGUUACUCCUGGAAGAAUCGCGGGGCCACCCCGACUCAACUCGCCGAGUCUGAAGAACAACUCGACGAGUCCCAGUUAAUCUUCAAGCUACUCGCCGAGUCUGUUCAUCGAACUCGGCGAGUCCAUGCCAUGCAACCGCUCAAACUGCAUCCUAAGGUCAGAACUGCUUCGACCAUUCCUAGGUCUGGCCUUCCUAGGCUGAUCCAUCACGUAAAGUCCUCAUUUCAGUGCUCAUGAUACACCAUAUGAUUCAUAAUUUACAUUUUGACCUAAGGCAUAAGGAUUCCAAUCCAAAACCUUCAUCAAUUCCCGAAAUGCACAGACAUGGGACAUUCUGGACCUCCAAAGGUCCCAAUACAGGGUUACAAUCGAUUAGGGGACUAGGGUAACAUUCAAUCUAUUCACAAAAGGGUUCCAUAAACCCUAAUUCCAUAAUCACAUCAACAUAGCAGAGUAUACUCGAAUUCUUACCUGGAUGAUGUAUUCUCUGUGUCCCCAAUCCUCAGAAUGUGACUCCCUUGCUGCUCCUUUAGCCAAUCCCUUCUCUUCCUUGCACAACCACUCUUCUAUAAUCAACAAUGGCCUAUAAUCCUUGCUCCAGAUGCACACAAUCGAUUUAGGGUUCUUCUCAGAAGGCUAAAAUGAACAAUGACGGCCAAUGAGUCCUUUUUAUACGUCCCAAACCUGAACGGUUAGGGUUUUCGCUAAACAGCGUAGACUCGCCGAGUCCAUAUCUGGACUCGUCGAGUCCAGUCGCGAACCCGCGACCAAGUCUGCGAUCCUACUCGGCGAGUCUAGGCUCCAACUCGCCGAGUCCCCUCUUAAAUCACCCCAAAAACAUAAUUUAACAAUACCUGAGAUUCCGGGCUGUUACAACUCUCCCCCACUAGGAUUAGACUUCGCCCUCGAAGUCUCACUCUGAAAAUAGUUCCGGAUGCUGCUCCCGCAUCUCACGUUCCGGCUCCCAAGUCAUUUCCGAUCCCUUCCGGUGUUGCCACUGAACCAACACCAGAGGUACCUCCUUGUUCCUCAGAACCUUGAUCUUCCGAUCCCUGAUGGCCACUGGUCUCUCGGCAUAAUUCAGGCUCGCAUCCACCUGAAUAUCCUCCAAUGGAACCACUGCCGACUCAUCGGCUAUGCACUUCCUCAAUUGCGACACAUGAAAAGUGUCGUGGAUCUGUCCCAACUCCGCUGGCAACUCCAACCGAUAGGCUACCCGGCCUAUCCUUGCAAUCACACGAAAUGGCCCAAUAUACCGGGGCCCCAACUUGCCCCUCUUCCUGAAUCGAAUCACUCCUUUCCAAGGAGAGACCUUCAGGAGAACGAAGUCGCCGACUUGAAACUCAAGCUCGGAUCGGCGCCUGUCUGCAUAACUCUUCUGUCGGCUCUGGGCGGUCAAUAACCUCUGUCUAACUUGCUGAAUCUGCUCUGUCGUCUGGAGCACGAUCUCCGUGCUGCCCAUCACUCUCUGUCCCACCUCUCCCCAGCAAAUGGGGGUCCGACACCUCCUACCAUACAACAGCUCAAAAGGUGGCAUACCAAUGCUCGAAUGAUGGCUGUUGUUGUAGGAAAACUCUGCCAAGGGUAAAUACGCAUCCCAGCUACCCCCGAAGUCUAACACACACGCUCGAAGCAUGUCCUCCAGCGUCUGAAUCGUCCGCUCGCUCUGACCGUCUGUCUGGGGAUGGUAUGCGGUACUAAAAUGCAAUUUAGUACCCAGCUCCUCAUGGAAUUUCUUCCAGAACCUGGAAGUGAAGCGCACAUCACGGUCUGAAACAAUCGAGAUCGGCACUCCAUGCCGAGAUACCACUUCUCUCACAUAUAUCUCCGCCAACUUCUCCGCUGAAGAACUCUCGCUGAUGGCAAGGAAGUGUGCACUCUUCGUCAACCUAUCCACAAUCACCCAAAUUGCAUCAACUCCCCUGGCAGUCCUCGGCAAUUUGGUGAUGAAAUCCAUAGUGAUUUGUUCCCACUUCCACUCGGGAAUCUCCAAUGGCUGUAACUUGCCAUGCGGUCUCUGGUGCUCGGCCUUAACCCUACGACAGGUCAAGCACCUCUCAACGAACCAUGCGACGUCCCUCUUCAUACAGGGCCACCAAUACUCUUUCCUCAAAUCCAAAUACAUCUUCGUAGCACCGGGAUGGAUCGAGAAUUUCGAUCUAUGAGCCUCUUCCAUCAAAGUAAUACGCGUACCGCCCACGAACGGUACCCAGAUCCGACCCUGAAACGUCAGAAGCCCUCGUCCGUCCUUAAGGAACUCUGAAAUUAACCCAACGACCCGCUCUUUCUUCUGCAUCUCUGGUCGCACCGCCUCGGCCUGUGCCCCACGAAUCGCAUCCAAUACUGGAUUCAUCACAGUCAGUCUCAAACAUACAUCUCNNNNNNNNNNNNNNNNNNNNNNNNNNNNNNNNNNNNNNNNNNNNNNNNNNNNNNNNNNNNNNNNNNNNNNNNNNNNNNNNNNNNNNNNNNNNNNNNNNNNUGUAAAAUACAAAUUGUCUAAAUCCCAAGAUCAUAAAAACAUUCUUCACUGUGUAUCGAUCACGCCGGCGCCUUCCCAAGGUCCUCGCUAGUACCUGAAACACAUGCAUAACAACUGUAAGCAUAAAUGCUUAGUGAGUUCCCCAAUAUACUACUUACGCACAUACGCCUUUCCAGGCCCUGACCUUCCGGUCCAUGUGUCUCAGGGGACUUCCGUCCCUGCUGGGUAAACCUUCCGGUCCUACCCACGCCGACCUUCCGGUCCAUAACACAACAUAUUGCCUUCCGGCCCAUAACAUAUUGCCUUCCGGCCC